AUUUUGAAAAUAUGGUAACAUUAGCGUUCUCAGUAAGAUAGCCGUAGCACUGAAGUCUAUAGCUUUGAGUAGCAUUCAUGUUGAAAACGUCACUAGUAUAAGUGACAGCAACGAACAACAAAUUGUUUUUUUUCGAAGAUAAGUAAAUUUUUCAAUACAUUGUCAUGCUAAGUCAACUACGAAAUCACUACGGAUGUGAAUCUUACACCAACUCACGAUUCAAAUUCGAUUCCUAUUUUUGGGGUGAUGAUUCGAUUCAGAGUCUAUUCUCAAUUCAAAACAAUUUUCCCAAUAUUUUGUUCGGCAUAUAAAAGGUAAAAUAAUUCAGAGAGUAUGAUAACAUUAACGUUCUCAGUAGCUUAUCUGCAACACUGAAGUCGGUAGCUUUGAGUAGCAUUUUUGUUGAAAACGUCAUUUCACAUUUACGAUAAAUGUUGUCAAGUGUAACACGACUUAAGUGACAGUAACGAACAACAAAAGUUGUUUUUUUCAUAGAUAAGUGACAUUUUUAAUACAAUGUCAUGCUAAGUCAACUACGUAACUAUUAAAGGUGUGAAUCUUACAACAACUCAUGAUUCAAUUGGUUUCCAAUUCUUGGUGGACGAUUUGAUUCAGUAUCUAUUCUCAAUACAAAACAAUUUUCACAAUAUAUUAUUGGGCAUAUAAAUGAUAAUAAUUUUUUUGAGAAAAUAUGGUAAUAUUAGUGGUCCCAGUAACCUAGCUGUAGCACUGAAGUCUGUAGCUUCGAGUAGUAUUCAUGUUGAAAACGUCACGUCAUAUUUACGAUGAAUGUUGUCAAGUAUAACACGACUCGAAUGACAGCAACAAACAACAAAUUGAGCAUGUGCGAGCGGCCAAAGAUUCACGUCUUCCUGGGGGCCCCUCCCUCCACGCCUGGCCCCGCCUCGGUCUCUGACUGCGGUAUGGAGAGGGGCGGGGGACCAUCCGGCCGCUGGCGACACCUGGAGCUCACCUGGCGGGAAGGGCGGCUCCUCCCUGCAGAUGCAGAAGGAGCGCAUCAUCUCCCACCAGACCAGAACGAGGAUGAAACCGCAGAUCAGGGUGGUUUAGCCUCAAGAACCAAAUGGACCAGAGAGACCCUCAAAGAACAUCGCUCGCACGCCGGCGAGGAAGAGCGUCCUGCGGUUUCUGUUCAGGAUUAUCUGGACUCAUGUUUUCCUGCCACGCAACAAGAAGAAACUCGAGAACCUUCACGCCACAAUCUGUCUGUCGGCAGCCAGUUUCUCGCGACCUGGACUCUGAGUCAAGCGUUGAUUCUGAGAGAUUCCCAAUCAGCCAGCAGCCCCCCACAGAGCCCUCAAAAACCCACCCAAACAUCGCCGUCAGACUCCUCCAACACGCCGGAGCUCUUCAGUCCAUUAACUCGCUCUCCCGGGGGUUCCGGCGAGCUCUUCAGUCCGGAGCGGCGGGCGGAGCAAGGGGGCGUGGUCUUGGAGACAACCUCACAUGGAGUGUUGUGCUCCCAGGAGGACAACAGUCCGCCCUCCAGUCCCGGACUCAAAAGAACUCGCCUCGCUGAGGACGACAAGAUCGAGGUGUUGGACGGAAUCGGCACGGCCGGGGAUCGCGGUUCCACCACACUUCUCGCCCAGUGUACUCGAGCGGCGGUUCGGUACCAGGUUCUGGUCGCCGUUGUACAUCCGUGUCAGCUGAAGGAGGUGAAGGUGAAGUCCGGACCCUCCACCGGGACCCUGAUCCCUCUGGCCACCAUGGUGGUGACGGACCAGUCGUCCGUGGACAUGAAGGUGGUGCUGUGGCGGCAGGCGGCAUUCUGGGCCUUGGCCGUCGGCGUUGGAGACGUUGUGUCCAUAACAGGCCUGCAGCUGCACGAGGACACCUGGAGGGGAGAGAAAGUACUGCAGUCCACAUUCAGCAGCAAGCUGCUCAACUUGGGCCACAUUGGUUCAGCCACCUGUCCCUCAGGUGGUCAUCAGGUUCACGCCCGCCACGUGGCGUCUCUCUGUGACUACCUUCAGGAGCGGCGUCCCCUGUUGCUGGCUGUGCCGCCCCGCCCGCCUCAGGACUUGAGGCGGCUGCCGUACACCCCCCUGUGGGCGCUGAAGGUCAACACGCUGGUUCACGCCGUGCUGCGCGUCAAACACGCGCACGUCAGCGCGGAGUGGCGAGGAGAGGCGGAGUCUCGCUGCAGGUCGGCUCUCGAGCGUCAGGCUGUCGCGACCGUGGAGCAGGCGGACGGCCGGCGGGGGGCGCUCCUGCUCUGGGGGGCAGCUCUGGACUGGCUGCCACACUUCAAAACACAUAAAGACGCUGUCUGGGAUGUCCGAGUUCUCCUGGCAAGAGAAGGCUUGACGUCUGACCUCCCGGAGCUUCACACCACCCCCUGGAGCUCCAUCCGGCGUGUGGACGCCGCCGACAGCAGGCUGCAGGACUUCAUGCGUGGAACCAGCAGCUGUGUGGACCUGGAUUUGGACACGCUGCUCUCCCAGAACUACUCAGGAGACGUGGAGCUCAGAGUCCAGAUCGUCAGCUUCUGCUUCCAGCCUUCCCACAAUGCACCACAGCCGACCCUGGACAGCUCCACGCCGCAGCCCAGCGUCCUGGCGGCACUCGGCGGCGACAUCACAUACUCAGGCUGCGGCCGCUGCUCUGCCGAACUGGAGACCGACGCCAACGGAAUUUAUAGCCCUUGCUACCCGUGCCUGCCCUACACCGCCGUGCGCCGCUACUACAGGCCGGGUGUGUUGACAGCUGUGAGUGGGCAGGGCAACCGUAGCGUGUGCAUCCAGGUUCCUGCCCUCGCUGUCCAGAAGGUUCUAGAUGCUCCGCCUGAUGAGCUUCACAGGAGCACAGCGCCGGGUUCCGAAGUGAAGCAGAUCCAGGUGGUUGCACAGAGGCUGCAGAACCUCCUGAGCCUUCCAAAGAAGACAGUCAUCGUCUCGGUGCGCAGCCUCUUCCUGCGUGACGAGAACAGCGUCCCCAUUAGUCAGGAGCUAACGCUGCUGGACCUCCACUUUGCCCACACGUGAAUUGUCGCCCGGCGAACCUGCUGGACCACCUCGGGUCAGGCCAGGUGAGGUUCUUUAUCCACAGCUCACAGACCAGAAAGUGGGCGUGUCUACCUCGUCAGGAUCAACCUGUUCCACCUGCUAGGGCGGCUGGUUUUUGGACCUGCUGACCGGCUGGUUGUACUCAGACGAGCCUUCCAUCCUCAAUUCCAGUUAUCCCGGUUCUCAAUACCUCUGCUUAGCGCUCCUGCGUCUUCCUUUAGUACAUCCACGAAUGUUACUGUGGGACGUGCCCAUGUGUUGAUUCCCUCAGCACCGGUGUGCUGCCUGGUAGAUCCUGAUGUUCUUGGCAGUGCCCUGCGAGUCUCAUUCUCCCGGCUGCUAUUUUGUUACCCUGAAUAUUCUUUGGUAACAUGUGCGCCCUUGUUGAUGGUGAGAACUACAUGUAGCAUUCUGGUGUAGCACCCGUUUAUAAGAGCCUUCUGCAGCGUUGGCUUCAGAGUCCAGCAUUCACUGCCACAAAGGAGGACAGAU